CUGCAGAGGCCCAUGCAGCUGCCUGUGCCGCUGCUUCCUUGAGAAACUGACCCUAUCAAUAUAAUGAAAAUGGAUUAAUUAAAACAAACUGGGCUGAUCACAUUUAAAUCCCACACAGUAAAUGACUGAAUGAUUUUAGCUCCUCUAACUUGUUUUUCAAGCUGCGCUCGCUCGGUUACUCAACAUUAAUCAAGCAGCCGUUGUUACCUCUGUAUCCUGUAAAGCUAACUCUGGCUGCUUUACCAUCCGGAUCAUGCAAAUAUGUUAUAGUUAUUACAUCCAAUAACCGCAAAACACCAUCAAGUCAGAUAUUUCAAAACUCCUCCCUGGCACCAACCUCUGGUCAUUUACAUAAAUGGGCUCUUUUUGCAUAUUCACACAUGGCUGAUGUUUCCUCACUGAACUGCUGAACACAUAAAUGGUUCCAUUUCCACUAUAUACCUUACUGAGGAGCAUUUCCAACCACACAGAAGCAAGAUGAUCUCAAAGACUCCCCUUCUCUGGCUGCUGCUUUUCUGGUUUCAGGGUUCCAAUGGGCAGAUCGUAAUGACUCAGACUCCAGAAUCCCUGGCAGUGACUCCAAGAGACAGAGUCACCAUCAACUGCAAAGCCAGUUCUAGUGCUAGCGGAUGGGUGUCCUGGUACCAACAGAAAUCAGGGCAAGCUCCUAAGCUCCUUAUCUACGGCGCUUCCACCCGUCCUUCUGGGAUCCCAGACCGGUUCAGUGGCAGUGGGUCGGGCACUGACUACACAUUCACCAUCAGCAGGGUUGAAGCUGAUGAUUCUGGAGAUUAUUAUUGCCUGCAGACUGCUAGCCUCCCUCUCACAGUGAUACAGACCAAUACAAAAAUGUCCCUGCUCCAUGAAGCAUGAAGUCUAGUAGACACUGCUACAUAAAAUAGCACAGCAAACUAGUUUUCAAAUGUUCUGCCAAAAGAAAAAUAAGAGGAUAAAUCAUCCCAUUCACUAACAACCUAAAACUCUAGCAUUGGACUGCCAUCCCGAGAGGCUAGCUAUGCA